UUGCCUUGAUCAGUCAGCUUGCGGUCAUGGUCCACGCCGCUCUGUGUAUGUGUGACUGUUUUGGUGCUGCUGGCUGGCAAUCGCUCUCUUUUAGUGCUCUGUGUUCCUCCCCUCUGCACUCAUACGUUUCCUUCCUUUUUUCCUUUUUUUCCAGAGUGCGGCUCCGCUGAUUGGCCGGUGUCAUCAUAUGACACGGCUGCUUCAGCGCUAAGGAGUGUGGGAAUUGUAGGCAUCUCAGCGACCAUGUGACCUCUGAGAUCCAAUCGCGAUGCACCCGCCUCCCCAACAGGCUAUAUAUAGCAUGAUAUGAUCAUUAUCUGUCUGCUACCAACAGGGUACUGACAGAUGUCUUUAUUCCUCUUAAAGAUAGGUAAGUUUCCAUCCUGCAACCAUUCACUCUCCUCACUAUUGUCUCCUCUGUGUAAGGUUUGAAUACUUAUGGCUAAACCUUCACUUUUUCAUUUAUUUUCAUUCAUUUUCUACCCUUUUUAAAGGAGAUUAUCUGUAGACUUUUCAGCUGCAAUUGACUGGUCCUUGAUUUUUGCUGCAAACGACUAUCCUUUGACUUUCUAUCACCAGCUGAUGUUUGCUUGCACUCAGACUGUUCAUCUAGUUAAAUACUCCAUAUGAAUUGAGGCUCUUCAGUGCCCAUGUUAUUGUCUUACUUAAUUCCCCUGUAUUCACCUUGAUUUUAUUACGCUUCAAGUCCUGUCAGUUGAACUUGGAUUUCAAUAUCCACCCUGAGGGGGUUUUUCCUUGACUGGCUGUGCAUGAAGCUAGGAGUAAUCUAGAGAGACGAUCUUGUCCUAAUUCCCCUGAAGAAGCCAAGAGGCGAAACUAGUAGGGUCGACCUGAUCGAAAAAAUUAUUUCUAGAUCUUGCUC